GCUCGCCUGAACUUUACCAUGGAGUGGAGGAGUGGACAUUAGUGACAUAAUUGCUCAAGUAAAUGGAGAAUUUCAGCGUUGACAAGUAUUAGUAAAGAGAAGUUCAGCGUGCUACAACCAUGAAUAAGCAAGGGACCCAAUCUAGUCUUGGGGUCAGGGAAGUGAUCCUGGAGAAGUGAAGAAUGAGCAGUUUUCUGAGUAAAGGGGAGUCGGUCAAAGCAAGAGAGAGCAUGGCCUGUUAUGUGAAAGUUUGGCGCUGGAGGAUCUACCUCUGAGAUGGCUCAUUCACAUGGCUGUUUGCAGCAGAUCUCAGUUCAUUACUACAUGGAUCUCUCCACAAGACUGCUUGAGUGUCCUCACAUGGCAGGAGGUCUUCC
rnacentral:lncRNA from 10 species